rnacentral:rRNA from 1 species
UACGAAGGGGGCAAGCGUUGUUCGGAAUUACUGGGCGUAAAGGGCGCGUAGGCGGCUUAUCAAGUCAGGCGUGAAAUUCCCGGUCUCAACCUGGGGGCUGCGCUUGAUACUGAUUGGCUUGAAUGCGGGAGAGGAUAGUGGAAUUCCCAGUGUAGAGGUGAAAUUCGUAGAUAUUGGGAAGAACACCGGUGGCGAAGGCGGCCAUCUGGCCCGUAAUUGACGCUGAGGCGCGAAAGCGUGGGGAGCAAACAGG